GGACUGUUGAAGAGACCUAACCAGGUCGAAACAUCUGUCUAGUGC
rfam:Echinostoma caproni strain Egypt genome assembly, scaffold: ECPE_scaffold0019273